GACGAACGCUGGCGGCGUGCUUAACACAUGCAAGUCGAACGGAAAGGCCCUGCUUUUGUGGGGUGCUCGAGUGGCGAACGGGUGAGUAACACGUGAGUAACCUGCCCUUGACUUUGGGAUAACUUCAGGAAACUGGGGCUAAUACCGGAUAGGAGCUCCUGCUGCAUGGUGGGGGUUGGAAAGUUUCGGCGGUUGGGGAUGGACUCGCGGCUUAUCAGCUUGUUGGUGGGGUAGUGGCUUACCAAGGCUUUGACGGGUAGCCGGCCUGAGAGGGUGACCGGCCACAUUGGGACUGAGAUACGGCCCAGACUCCUACGGGGGGCAGCAGUGGGGAAUAUUGCACAAUGGGCGGAAGCCUGAUGCAGCAACGCCGCGUGCGGGAUGACGGCCUUCGGGUUGUAAACCGCUUUCGCCCGUGACGAAGCGUGAGUGACGGUAAUGGGUAAAGAAGCACCGGCUAACUACGUGCCAGCAGCCGCGGUGAUACGUAGGGUGCGAGCGUUGUCCGGAUUUAUUGGGCGUAAAGGGCUCGUAGGUGGUUGAUCGCGUCGGAAGUGUAAUCUUGGGGCUUAACCCUGAGCGUGCUUUCGAUACGGGUUGACUUGAGGAAGGUAGGGGAGAAUGGAAUUCCUGGUGGAGCGGUGGAAUGCGCAGAUAUCAGGAGGAACACCAGUGGCGAAGGCGGUUCUCUGGGCCUUUCCUGACGCUGAGGAGCGAAAGCGUGGGGAGCGAACAGGCUUAGAUACCCUGGUAGUCCACGCUGUAAACGGUGGGUACUAGGUGUGGGGUCCAUUCCACGGGUUCCGUGCCGUAGCUAACGCUUUAAGUACCCCGCCUGGGGAGUACGGCCGCAAGGCUAAAACUCAAAGGAAUUGACGGGGCCCCGCACAAGCGGCGGAGCAUGCGGAUUAAUUCGAUGCAACGCGUAGAACCUUACCUGGGUUUGACAUGGAUCGGGAGUGCUCAGAGAUGGGUGUGCCUCUUUUGGGGUCGGUUCACAGGUGGUGCAUGGCUGUCGUCAGCUCGUGUCGUGAGAUGUUGGGUUAAGUCCCGCAACGAGCGCAACCCUUGUUCACUGUUGCCAGCACGUUAUGGUGGGGACUCAGUGGAGACCGCCGGGGUCAACUCGGAGGAAGGUGGGGAUGACGUCAAGUCAUCAUGCCCCUUAUGUCCAGGGCUUCACGCAUGCUACAAUGGCUGGUACAGAGAGUGGCGAGCCUGUGAGGGUGAGCGAAUCUCGGAAAGCCGGUCUCAGUUCGGAUUGGGGUCUGCAACUCGACCUCAUGAAGUCGGAGUCGCUAGUAAUCGCAGAUCAGCAACGCUGCGGUGAGUACGUUCCCGGG
rnacentral:rRNA from 1 species